AGCUAAUGCUCCCUCGGAAGAAAGAAAUCAUAAUAUAUUGGUUAUGAUUGAAGGUUAGUUUUAUGCCUAGUAUCCCCGUACAAUCAAGUGUGUGAAGUGUUCAAGAGAGAGCUUGGCAUGACACCGGAUAAGUUGCUGGAUGAAUUGAAGAAGAAGAAUCUUGAUAAUGAAGUCCAUCUCAACAA